GUAUGCCUACGGGACGCAGCAGUGAGGAAUAUUGGUCAAUGGGCGCGAGCCUGAACCAGCCAAGUCGCGUGAGGGAGGACGGUCCUAUGGAUUGUAAACCUCUUUUGUCGGGGAGCAAAAGACGCCACGCGUGGCGUUCCGAGAGUACCCGAAGAAAAAGCAUCGGCUAACUCCGUGCCAGCAGCCGCGGUAAUACGGAGGAUGCGAGCGUUAUCCGGAUUUAUUGGGUUUAAAGGGUGCACAGGCGGAAGAUCAAGUCAGCGGUAAAAUUGAGAGGCUCAACCUCUUCGAGCAGUUGAAACUGG
rnacentral:rRNA from 1 species